AACGAACGCUGGCGGCGUGCCUAACACAUGCAAGUCGAGCGCGAAUGGAGCAAUCCUAGUAGAGCGGCGCACGGGUGCGUAACACGUGGGUAAUCUGCCUAGAAGAUGAGGAUAACCAGUCGAAAGACUGGCUAAUACUCGAUAAGCCCACGGGGACUUCGGUCCCUGAGGGAAAAGGUGGCCUCUGUAUACAAGCUAUCACUUCUAGAUGAGCCCGCGGCCCAUCAGCUAGUUGGCGGGGUAAUGGCCCACCAAGGCGACGACGGGUAGCUGGUCUGAGAGGACGAUCAGCCACACUGGAACUGAGACACGGUCCAGACUCCUACGGGAGGCAGCAGUGGGGAAUUUUGCGCAAUGGGCGAAAGCCUGACGCAGCAACGCCGCGUGUGUGAUGAAGGUCUUCGGAUUGUAAAGCACUUUCG
rnacentral:rRNA from 1 species